AAAAAUGAAAUCACUAUCACAGGGAGGGAACACACACACACACACACACACACACACACACACACACACACACACACACACACUUUUGGCCUCCCUCCUAUUUUAUUAACACUGUCCCCUUCUCUUCCUUCCUUCCUUCCUUUCUUUCUUCCUUCAUUUCUUCCUUCCUUCCUUCCUUCCUUCUAUUCUAUCUAUGCUUCUUUCUUUCCCUUCCUUCCUUCCUUCCUUUGUUCUUUUCUAUCGCUUUUUUUCUUUCCCUUCCUUCCUUCCUUCCUUCCUUUGUUCUUUUCUAUCGCUUUUUUUCUUUCCCUUCCUUCCUUCCUUCCUUCCUUUGUUCUUUUCUAUCGCUUUUUUUCUUUCCCUUCCUUCCUUCCUUCCUUCCUUUGUUCUAUUCUAUCGCUUUUUUUCUUUCCCUUCCUUCCUUCCUUCCUUCCUUCCUUCCUUCCUUUGUUCUAUUCUAUCGCUUUUUUUCCCUUCCUUCCUUCCUUCCUUCCUUCCAACCUUUUCUUCUAUCAUUUUGAUCAUUAAUUUUAUAUACUUUAUUUACUUAAUUACACUUUCUUUCUUCCUUCCUUCCUUCAUUCACUCUUUCAUUUCCUUUUUCUCUCAUCCAUUUUUCUUUAUUUUUCUCCUCUAUGUAUCGUUUUUUUUUCUUCCAAUCUUCCCCUUUCAACUAUUUAUAUCAUUAUCUUUUUACUCGUUAUUUCCUUCCUUUACUCGCUUUUCCUUUCCCUUCCUUUCCUUCAUCUCCUUUUCUUUAUCUCCACUCUUUCAUCCAUUUCUCUAUUUACUCCUCCGUUAUUAUUUUGUAUCUUCCUUUCUUCCUUCAACUAUUCAUAUCAUUAUCUUUUUACUCGUUAUUUCCUUCCUUUACUCGCUUUUCCUUUCCUUUCCUUUCCUUUCUUUCUUCUUCUUUUCUUUAUCUCCUCUCCUUCAUUCAUCUCUCUGUUUACUCCCCCAUUAUCAUUUUGUAUCUUUCUUUCUUCCUUCCUUCUGCUAAUAUUCUCAUCUUUAUUUCACAUACUUUUCCAUUCCUUUCCUUCCCUUUCCUUUCUAUCAUGUUUCCUUUUAGUUUCCCUCUUUACUCCUCUCUCUUUACUCCCCCAUUUCCAUAUACUUUCUCUUCCUUGCUUACUUCAUUUCACUCCUAUUCUUACUACGUUUACUAAAUUUAUCCACCUCUCUCUCCUUUCCUAUCCUUUCACCCAUUUUCAUUAGUUUCCCCCCUUUACUCAUCUCUGUUUACUCCCCCAUUUCCAUAUACUCGCUCUAUCUUUCUUCCUUCCUUUCACUCCUAUUCUUAUUACGUUUACUAAAUUUAUCCACCUCUCCUUCCUUUCCUAUCCUUUUUUCACCCAUUUUCACUAGUUUUCCCCUUUCCCUCAUCUCUCUACACCCUCCCCUUCCCAUUCUCCAUGACGCAGCGCCGCCGAGCCCAACCCAACCCAACACAGCCCCGCAACGCCCCGUAAAAAAGGCGGACUCCCCUGACCCAGUCUAAGUCUAUUGGCCAAGCGUCCUUCCCUUACUCCCCGGAUUAAUUAAGCUCAGUCAAGGGCCUCCAGUGACGUCACGAGGCCUCCCCUAUGGCCGGGCGAGUCCAUUAAGGAAGGAGGAGGAGGCAAGGCCGCAAGGGAAUGAACUUACGCCAGUGCUAACACGGAUUGCGAGAGGGGCGUGGGCUCGGGCGGCGCUCCGGAAAGAUUGCUGGCUAAAUAAUGGCGACUGGUGCUAAUGAGGUUAAGAAUGAGUGUCCUCGCACCUGACGCUCGUGAAAGGGACGCUGGGAGGGCUAUUUUUAGGGUUGUUUCUUAGGGUUUGGACUCAGGAGGUUGUCUUAGGGUUUGGACUUACGAGGUUGUCUUAGGGUUUGGACUUACGAGGUUGUCUUAGGAUUUGGACUUACGAGGUUGUCUUAGGAUUUGGACUUAGGAGGUUGUCUUAGGGUUUGGACUUACGAGGUUGUCUUAGGAUUUGGACUUACGAGGUUGCCUUAGGAUUUGGACUUACGAGGUUGUCUUAGGGUUUGGACUUACGAGGUUGUCUUAGGAUUUGGACUUACGAGGUUGUCUUAGGAUUUGGACUUAGGAGGUUGUCUUAGGGUUUGGACUUACGAGGUUGUCUUAGGGUUUGGACUUACGAGGUUGUCUUAGGAUUUGGACUUAGGAGGUUGUCUUAGGAUUUGGACUUACGAGGUUGUCUUAGGAUUUGGACUUACGAGGUUGCCUUAGGGUUUGGACUUACGAGGUUGCCUUAGGAUUUGGACUUACGAGGUUGUCUUAGGAUUUGGACUUACGAGGUUGUCUUAGGAUUUGGACUUAGGAGGUUGUCUUAGGGUUUGGACUUAGGAGGUUGU